rnacentral:rRNA from 1 species
UACGAAGGGGGCGAGCGUUGUUCGGAUUUACUGGGCGUAAAGGGCGCGUAGGCGCUUGUCAGUCAGGCGUGAAAGCCCCGGGCUCAACCUGGGAACGGCGCUUGGGACGGCGAGGCUGGAGUUCGGGAGAGGAGAGUGGAAUUCCCAGUGUAGAGGUGAAAUUCGUAGAUAUUGGGAAGAACACCGGUGGCGAAGGCGGCUCUCUGGACCGACACUGACGCUGAGGCGCGAAAGCUAGGGGAGCAAACAGGG